AAGUGUAGCAUUUCUCAGUAGUGACUUGCUUUCCUUCUAGAACUCCCGUGUAUGUAUGUUUGUAUGUAUGUUGGAACAUUGUUAUUUUUUUACUUCUUUAAUCCGAUCCAUCUUAAAUACUCAAUAUAUGCACAUGACAUGUGUAAAUUAGGUAGCUACAGAACACGCUAGGGAGAUAACAACCUCCCAGUGCUCAUGUCAAAUAAGACUGGAGUAGGGAGGAGGAAAACAUUUUCCUGAAAUAGGGACACACUCCAGGUUUGGUUUCUGAGUUACUUCACACACACACACACACAAACAUAUAUAUAGAUAUAUAUACACACACACAAUGCCAUGAUGAAAAAAUGUGCACUAUGUGGAUACAUGUCACUUUAAGGGGGAAAACAAACCAAGGAGAGAAGGGAAACACAGACCUGAAUUAAUAUGCUUUAGCAUCUGUUUAACGAUCCUGUCGCAACAUGGGGUGGAGACGGAUGGUGGUUAAAAUUAAAUGGCCCUGCUGAGUGUCAAAUGUAAUACUUAGACCAGCUUUGCCCAAUGUGGCAACCUCCACUUGUUUGCGAUCACGAGUCCCAUCAACUGAUGGGAGUUGGUCCAAACCAUCUAGGGGGCACCAGGUGGAGAAAGCUUGAUGUAGACAAUGCUGCUCUCCAACCUGGGAAGAAAAGAAGGUUGGACUCUCUUGAUUAUGGAAUGUGCUGGGAAGCACUUUGUAAGUUCUUUCAUUAGAACAGGGCUGAGAUACCUGUGUUCCUGGACUAAAGCUCCCAUCAGCCAUAGCCAGCUGUCAAGGAUGAAGGAAGUUGUAGCCUAGCAAGUGCUGGAGAGCCUCGGCUUCCCCAUUGCUGCUUUAAAAUGUUACAAAGCUUCAGUUUAAAAGUGUAGAAAAUGAGGACAAGUAUGGCCCAGUCCCAUCUAUGCUUACUGGGCCGUAAGCAUGACUUGGUUCUGUAGGUUUCUUCCCAAGUAAGCAUGUAUAAAAUGUUGCUUUAGAAGAAUGCCUAUUAUUCUAGGGCAGUGGGGUUCUCAAAUCGUCCCCACCACGGACCACUUGGAAAUUGUUGAGGGUUGUAAUGAUUUUUCUGCUUGUUGUAGCAAUUGCAGUGGGCUGUGCUCAGCGCUGCGUGAUUGUUAACUAUAUAUAUUUUUAUUCCUUUUAUUUCUCAUGAUGUUGGAUUGUGUUGCAGUCUGCAUUCCACAGACUGCAACUUGCAAUGCAAUUAAAAUAUGAAAUAAAAGAAGCAAUAAAACAGCAACAGGAAUAUUUAAUGGAGGCAAGCCAUGGACCACUGGUGGUCUAUGGACCUUAGUUUGAGAACUUCUUUCCUCAGGAAACCUGCUUAUCAAGGAGAAAAUUGGACACUUUUCUCCCACUCCAAAUGCCACCUGGCAAUUCCCAUAUUUCCAAGGCAGUGACUGUCAAGGCAUUUAUUCUGAAAUCACCCCAACCCCACAAUAUGCACAUGCCACCUACAAUAGCUUUCUCCAACCUGAUGCUCUCCAGAUACUUGAGACUACAAUUCCCAUCAGCCCCAGCCAGCAUGGCUGAUGGUCAGUGACGAUGCAAUUGAGUAGCAUCUGGGAAAGCUGGUCUGCAAUUCAAUUAAACUGUCAUACCUGGCCGUGUGCUUAGGGGUAAGCAGGUGGGGCACUGCAAGUCAAAGCACAUUUGAACGCUGGAAGCAUUUCAAAAGCAGGUUAUGAUGUCGCUUGAGAGCAGAGGAGACCUGUUGCUUGAAAACAUCACCCCUCCAUUGAGAUCCUUGCUUCUUGUACUGAAGCUGAUUUCACAUUUUAAAUAAGAGUCCCUUUCGGCCAAAAGCAUAGGAGGUGAUGGUUCAUGUGCUCUUUCUGAAACAUGGGUUGGAACCCUCAGGUGCUGGUAGUCAGAGUUGCAUCCAUCACUGUUCAGAAUGGUCUCUUCUUUGGGAGGAGAAAAAAGUGGACCAACCACUGCUGGUCACUGCCCCACAUCUACCCACCGCCCUCAACUGUUGAGGUUUCCUUCUUGAAAUAAGCCGUUUCUCAUUUGUUUCCACCCUUGGCUGGUCUUGCUUGCCUAGGCAAAAGCAGCAGGUAACAGACAUGCAGGCAUCUUCUCCCAAGUGGGUUGGCCAACUAGAGUUGACCAACUCUAAUGGAAACUUGGCCUUCUGUAGAUUGUAGCAAACUACACCCAUGGCUUCAUAAGAAAACCAGGCCUCCAGAAGGCAACUCUGUGCUGCUAUUUAUUUAACAUUUAUUAUAUAUAUAUAUGCGGCUGAUAUAAGGAAAUUGCACUAUGCGAAACUGUAGAUUUUGAUAUGGAACCUUACUGCAGUUUUAAAUACGAGUGUUUACAGCUUUUUUAAAAUAUAUAUAUAUAUAUAUAUAGAAAAAUGGGUAUCCAGAUGAGCUUUUAAAAGUGUGAUUCUUAGUCUGCAUUUUGCACUGGAAACGCCAGCCUGAUUUUUAAAUAGCAGACUGGCCCAUGUGGAUGUUUGGUGCUCUAGUACAAAAAACCAUUCAAUGUGGACAGCCAAACCUAAUGUGGGGAUGGGGAAGAUAUCAAAUAUGGUGCAGGAGUUUUGGGUUGUGCUUAUGACUGUUGGCCAUGUUUCCUAAAAUCUCCCAUAUGGAUGAACAGGUAGUCCUUCCAUAAGGGUUGUGUUUAGAUGCUGUGGGUGGUGAGGAUCUGGUGGAGGUGAGUGGAUCACCUCCAACUAGAAGUCUAACUUCACAAGUUACUUUCCUACUCUUCCCAGUGCUUCUUGUUGGUGAGAUGCCAUUGUCUUGAAAAGAACAUGCACAUCCCAGAAACCAGUUCUUCUCUAAUGUACAAAACCUGAAUAGGUGUGUUCACACAUUACACCAUACACAGGUGUUUGCAUGAAAAAAUGCUCACUUGUGGAUUUGGGAUGCACAACUGUUGUGUAUGCUUGCUGAACAUUACAUGUGAAUAAUGGCAUGAGUGUAUAGCUGCAUUCUUUGAAUACACAAGUACAAGGUUCCAAUGUAAUGUGUGAACACCCCUAAUGUGGUUUUUCAACCCCUCGGAUGGUGAACAGUCAAGAGACGAUUCCCAAACCAAUGAUGAUGUUGGGUGUCAUGUUUUGCCAGGAUGUUGUACCAGUUUGUGCCUGUUUUGAUCCCAGAAGCUCACGUGCUCUAGCAAUUCGAUGCAGAACUUAUAUGCCUGUAAGCCAAAGAAUUCAUUCAGUAGUUAGAUCCAGAUAAAUCAACCAUGCUUUACUCUUGACUGUUCCAUGGGCAAAGCAAAAUUGCUAAUAGUGCCCACCUUUUAUACUAUCCAACGGGCACAAAGCCCACUGAUUUGAUCUCCUGCAGAAACCCCAACAAAAAUGGGAGGCAGAAUUGCACCUCCAGCUCAGCUAAUGUGGUUGUGGCCAGUAUAAGCAUUGGCUAUAGCUUGAUGGUAGUUGGGAUGGGAGAGAUUUGACUCAGUUUUCAUCCAAAAGAGGAAAGGAGGGAGAUCAGGGCAGGGUAUAAAGCUGAAAGCAUGCAAGUAUGCCUAGAUCAAGUCUCUAGAACCUUCAGGACGCUCUGCAAUGACAUUGCUGCCAAUAUUGCUUUGGACACAAUCUACCAUGGGUUUCUUUGGCAUUAAUGCCACUGAAAUGAGCAGCAUUUACUGGUGGAUUUCCCCCAGAGAAUCAGGAUCCCCCUAAAGAUUACUGGUGUAGGCAGGAACCUUUUAGGCAAAAAUGCAUGCCAAAUCACACACAGGAGAGCCGUGCACUAAAAAUGCAGAUGAGAAAGAAAGAGAAACUGAAGUUGACUGUUUUGUCCAGAUCUAGUGCAGACACCUGUAGAUUGCACUGUAAAUAUGGACACAAAAAAUGGAAAAAGGGGAGGGCCCCUCCCCAGAUAAGAUUAACAUAAAUCCAUUUGCAUACAAGGUCUUCCAAUAGAAAUGCAUUGCUUCUCAGACAUGCGCAAAUGCGUUAAAAGCUUGAUUUUAGUUCAAUAAAAAAAGAUCAAAAUACAAGUCAUCAUGACUGUACACAGAAGCUGGUGCUUGCCAAAUUGCAAAUGCAAGUUGCACAGUGCGAUGAGGAAAUGAAACACGAAGAGCUGUCAGUCAGCUCCCCCAUUUUGUACUUUCUUGCGAGUUAUACAUUCAGACGCCAACGUAUCAUACCGUAUGUGAUUACAAUUUAUACUCUUAAAUGCACAGAGCAUUGACAUCAGGUCAUCUCAUUGUGGCUCUAAACGGGUCUUCCAGGAUGUGUUUUGCUGAAUUUACACAUUUAUUAAUAAGAUGGCUUCCUCCAACAUGCAUAAUAGGACCCACUGGGGUUGCCGUGGUUUAAGCUUUCUUACAAUACCUACUGCACUGAGGGCUUAUCUCAGUUAGCUUCCCCCCACUCUUUCCAUUUUAAAGCUCCAUGCCCAAACACUCUUUCCCUGCAAAGACUUAUCCAAGUGUGCUUUCCCUAUGAAGACAUGCUCUUUAGCGCUCAAUUGGAGCAAACAGCAAUUUGGGUUUUCCACCCAGUGCUGUUUGCUCCGAUUGAAAUUUAAAGAGCAGGUUUUCAUGGGGAAAACUCCAGAGCGAAUAAAGGGUGCUCACUCAUGGAGCUUGAAAGCAUGGACCAUGCCUGGAAAGUGCAGAUGAGAAUUAAGUGUGGCUAUGUCCCAACUGUGAUGUAUACAUACAGUGUUGGAUGCAGUUAUGAUGCAUUGUAUUUUCAAGAGUGAUUGCAUUUUUGUUUUGUUUUACAACAGGACAUUAAUAGCUGUCAGCUUUGUGUAUGGAUAUGGGGCUUUUGUGGGGGGAGGUUAUACAGCGGCAGCUUCUGUAAAUCUUUUUCUCCCCAUGAGCGUUCCUGCAUGAGAUCCAACUUUUCAAGCACCUGUUUGCCUCAUUCACAUCACAAUUCCUCCCACCCCAUGGAGCUGUAACUUUUAAAACAGAGCUUAGCCUUCACUGUCCUUCUUUCAUGGUGCAGAUCUGAAGGUGGAUUAAUCACCAUACCCAAAGCUUUUCCAGACUUUCAUUGGCAGGGCAGAAGUGAGGUCAGAGAAGUGCUUUUGUGCUCCUGUGGUUUUUCUCUGCACCCCUCAUUUUUCCUCCUGUGGGAAAGAUUUAGGCCAACUCCUCGGCUGCCCUAUACCCCCAGUCUGGGUUCCACCCCGGGGUGUUGAGAAGGUUGUGGAUCUCUCAGAUCUGUGCUUUUUCCUGAUUCUCCCCUGAACAUCCUGAACAUCUCCCCUGAACAUCAAAUCACCUCAGAUUUGGUCUCCUUGGCCCCAACAUCUUAUGGCCACAGUAGCAAGGAGAAGGGCUCUGACACGGUUUAUCCUAGGCCCCUUUAGAUUCCCUCCCUGUGGUGAUAGGAUUGCAGGCAUGGGUGUCACCCCCCCCCAUAUAUAUAUUAAAAAUCUUAAUGUAUGAAGAGGCCCUUAAUGGAUCUCUGUUGAGCAGAGCAAGUUGAUAUGGAGGUUCUGAACGCAGCUGUCCAUUUGUGAUGGGGGUUCACCAAUGGAAGUCAAAACCUAGCACUGACUUUGUCAAGUAACUGAACCUGUAUUGUGUGAACGCACCAUCAGAAAUGGAGCACUGGGAUGUUCAUCGAGAACACUCGAGGUUUUGAAUCAUUGAAAAACCAAGCUCAACAAUUUUAAGACAUGCACAUACACACUCAAGAGUCACCAAAUACACAAGUUACGUCCGUACACACUCUUAGAGACUUCUUUAAAACUGGUAGUUGGAUAUGAUGUCCUGAUAACACAGUGGGAUGCAAGUAAUUUGUGAUCCAGGAAUCUUUUUUCCCCAUUUGUUUGUUUGUUUCUCUGUUGACCUGUUCUGUCUAAACAGUCGUUUACCCCUCCAGCAUAUUUAAAUCCAAAUGCAUGACUUAAGUGCUAAUACUGUAUAAAUAAUAUUUUUCAGACAUAUCUACAAAAAAACAAAACAAAAACCCACAAAUGUUUGCUUCAAACUUUUGAUGAUAGAAAAGGGGGGUGGGGAGAGUAUAUAAUGAACAUGGUUGUCUUCAAGGUGUAUUGUAUUUUUCAUUUUUGUUAAAUAUGUAGGAGGGGGAAAAGAAAGAGAGAAAGAGAGAGAGAGAAAGAGAGAGAGAGAGAAAUGGAAGAUAGGAAGAGAGCGGGGAAGACGUGAAUGUUUGCGUAUAUUGAAAUGUAUAUACCUGUGAGAGAAAACACAUGUGCCAAGUAUAACAAGAUGUACAAAAUGUAAAUACAUGAAAAUUUCAUUUUUCUAAUAAAGAUAAUUUCUGCCAAUUGA